UGGGGAAUAUUGCACAAUGGGCGCAAGCCUGAUGCAGCAACGCCGCGUGAGCGAAGAAGGCCUUCGGGUCGUAAAGCUCUGUCCUAAGGGAAGAAUAAAUGACGGUACCUUAGGAGGAAGCCCCGGCUAACUACGUGCCAGCAGCCGCGGUAAUACGUAGGGGGCAAGCGUUAUCCGGAAUCACUGGGCGUAAAGGGUGCGUAGGCGGUUUUACAAGUCAGGAGUGAAAGGCAAUGGCUCAACCAUUGUAAGCUCUUGAAACUGUAUAACUUGAGUGCAGGAGAGGAAAGUGGAAUUCCUAGUGUAGAGGUGAAAUUCGUAGAUAUUAGGAGGAACACCAGUGGCGAAGGCGACUUUCUGGACUGUAACUGACGCUGAGGCACGAAAGCGUGGGGAGCGAACAGGAUUAGAUACCCCCGUAGUCC
rnacentral:rRNA from 1 species